UCCGUCUCUUCUCUCACCUGACGCCAGAAGGAGAGAAUUAGCCCAAGAGCACAAGGCUGUCUACUGCUCUUUGGUACUGGUUGUAGAACUGGUGUCUACUUAUCUGUCUUUGUUCUCAUAUAGUAACUUUUCGAAGAAGAGUUCUUAUAUAGUAACUUCUCAAAGAGGUCAAGGAAUGCUGGAUUCCUCUGCCACGCACUAUGAAACACCAACCAGAGACUGCUUGAAAAACACAAGAGGCUGCUUCAGACUGGACACUGACUUGGCCUUCCACAGAGUCGGAUGGCCUUGAACUCACACUGUAGCCCAGGGUGUCCUAGAAUUUAGAGUAAUCCUGUCUCAACCUCCUCCUGAGUGCUUGGAUCACAGGGCCAGCUGAUUACGAACUGAAAUCUCCACAAAUUGUGAGUAAAUAAACCUUUCUCCUUUAACUUUGGAUAUCAGGUAUUUUGUCUCAGCAACUAGACAAAUAACCAAGAUAUCUAGGCUGAAGCCACAAAGAAAAAUAUGUAAUCGACUUGACAAUAUAAAACUCACAUGUCUGUAAAUCUAGAUAUAUGAAAUUAAAAGGCACAUAGCAAUUGCUCUAUCCCUGUCUUAUGGUGGCUUCCACCCUCCUGACCCUUCUUGCCAAUAAUGCUGCUGCUUGUACAUACGCUACACAACACAGCUGGAACACAAGGAUCCCAGCCACAACCUCACAAACCUGGCUGCUAAGCUUGGAGAAAUUCCCAAAGCAAGGUGUCAAGAAGAACCCUUUAGUCUCAAGAUCCACUCCAGAUGGCCUUCGGGGUACAGAUUCUGUGCCUCACAGAGGAGGAUGGGAGUCACAUCCCCAGCCUUGUUGUUCCCCUGCCAUCAUCAUAACCACCAGCCUCCUCUGUGUCCUCCCUCCCACCCCUCUUCUGGCAACCUGGGAAUGUCUAUCACAGAACGAUGAUGCCAGAUUAGAAAAUGCCACUUUUAAUUGAUAGUCUCAUACUAUCUCCCCUUGGGAGUUGAUUUUGUUUAAAAAAUUCUGAGUAUGUCUAAGUGAAAAGAAACAUGCUAAUUUUCCCAUCAUAGCAAUUACACCACGUAUUUUUAAAAUAUCUAACACUGUCAUACUGCUUCAAAGCCGUUACUUUUAAGAUAAACGCCACAGAGUAAAUAGAGAAAACACUUGCAACAAAUGCAGGUAGGUGGAUGGUGGCUCACCUCCGGUAAAAGGGAGGGGUCAUUCUGUAAAAGCAGCACCCCAAGCUGGGCUUCGUUGAGGCCAAAGAGCCCGUGGUUUUUCAGAACCUGGAUGUUCACCAGGGUGUGGAUGUCAUGGGACAGGCUGCAGGUGGACCUAGAAGAACACCAAGCUCUGAAUCAGAAGCUGGGAAAGCAGCCAGCUCGCAGCCCACUUGUAAAGGUGAAGGCUUACUGGUAGAUAAUCAGAAAGCUAGACUAAAGUAAUUUCCUUUCCAGGGUCAUUUUCCUGUUCCAGGCUCUAAAGCCAAGUCACCCCACCCCCUACUCCUCCCCCUCCUCCUCCCCUCGCCGGGAUAGGCGGCACAGUGGGCCCAGGGGAGAGUCCCGCAUUACCAGCUGCGCAUAGUACUUGCUCCGCCCCCCUCCCAAGCCUAGGUUGCCAGGGGUCAGACCAGACCAGGGCUUGAACCCUACACUGUGCGGGCUCAAAAGGUCCGUGCAACUCCCAAGAUUCUCAGAUGUUCCUUCAAGGAGCACAGUAAGUAAGUGAACUCGGAGGACAUGGAUUUAACCCAGACUUAAGGCCUGUAACCCUAACACUCAGGAAGCCCAGGCAGAGGUUCGCAGACAGUUUGAGGCUAGCCUGGGCUGCACAGAGGUAUCCGGUCCCCAAAACAAACAAACUUUCAGUGAGGAUGCAGGGGGGCCUCGGUAGCAGCCUGGGGCCCCUUCCAGCUUGCCCUUCGGGAGGGGUCCCCGCCCCUGGCGCCCUGCGCCCCUCACCAGCAGUCCCGAUGCGGGCACUUGCCCAGCAUGUGCCGGCGGCAGAAGUGCAGCUGGUCGCAGCCUCGGCACUCGCCGCGCUGGUAGCGGGCGCACAGGCGCGCGGAGGACACGGCCACCACCCUACAGGCCCGGGCGCCGCCAGCCUCGGCCUCCACGUCCUGCAGCAGGAAGCGCUCGGGCCCGGCGCGCUGCAGCACGUCCCCGAGCCGCGCGGGCGACAGCUCCACGUGGCCGCGCAGGUCCUGCAGCAGCAUGCGGCCGCCGUGCGCGCACAGCACCUUGGUGAGGAACGAGCACACCGUGGGCUCCGCCAUGGCCAGCCAGGCCCGAGCACGGCCCCGCCCCGUCACGUCCGCCCUGGUGGGCAGGGCCUGGCGUGCGGGAAAGGGGCCGGCAGCCUCUGCGCGACUUGGCUCCAAGCGCCUGGAGGGCUUGGUGGAGCCAGAGUCUGAGAAGAGCUGAACAAGAUGAGCUCCUGGCUGGAACUGCCAGGGGCUGUAAAGGGUCGGAUUCACCGUGUAACCCAGGCUGGCCUCUGACACAGUGGCAAUCCUCCUGCCUCAGCCUCCUGAGUGCUGGAAUUACAAGUAUGUGCCACCACACCCGGCUACAGCAUGCUCACUUAAUCACAGGAUACCAAGAUGGACAAGGAAUGGGAGAAUGCAGCCAGCCUCGAUACUGUCUUAUAAGCUGUGAGUUUUAAAAGAAUGUAUGGAGCAGGACUUUUGGAGGACUGACUGGAUAAUUCUGCAGAUAACCAUUUAUAUUUUUAACUUUUGUUAAAGUACACCCCUGGUGCCAAUCCUGGGAUAAGAGGAAGGGAGGAAUGUGGGCAGCUGCCAGUCCUCAAAUACAUGCCAGCCCGCUGUGGGCUUCUCCAUCAUCUCCUCUGCCUUGCGUGGCAGUGGGCUAAAGGCUAUUGUUCCUUGCUCAUCAAAUCCUGGAAUGUUGUCUUAGUCACUUUUCUGGUGGCUGAGACACAAUAUCCAACACCCACAGCAUCCAGGAGGAGGUGUUUAUGGCUCAUGAUUUCAGACAGUUCAGUCCUUGGUGGACAGGCUCAAAUGCAGAAAGACCAUGGUGGAACAGUCUGGGAAGAAGAAAGCUGUUUAUGUCAUGGUGGCCAGGAAGCAGAGAAAGGAGGAGCAAAGAGAAAGACAUGCCCUUCUAAGUCACAACCCAGUGAGCCAGCUAACAGCAAGUCAACUCUAGAACCCCCACGAUCCAGUGAUGUUCCAAACACCCUGCCACUGCACGCGGGAGAGUGCUGGAGGUCAUCCUUCAUCUAAACCAUAACAAGUAAUAAAACUCACUGUCUCUUCUCUCCUUGGAAUAAACUGGUAUCUGCAGUUGAUUAUCUUUGUGGAGACACCAACAAAUGCAGCAAAUAAAGGCAACAGAACAGAA